AGUGAACGCUGGCGGUAGGCCUAACACAUGCAAGUCGAACGGCAGCACAGUAAGAGCUUGCUCUUACGGGUGGCGAGUGGCGGACGGGUGAGGAAUACAUCGGAAUCUACUUUUUCGUGGGGGAUAACGUAGGGAAACUUACGCUAAUACCGCAUACGACCUACGGUUGAAAGCAGUGGAUCUUCGGACCUUGCGCGAUUGAAUGAGCCGAUGUCGGAUUAGCUAGUUGGCGGGGUAAAGGCCCACCAAGGCGACGAUCCGUAGCUGGUCUGAGAGGAUGAUCAGCCACACUGGAACUGAGACACGGUCCAGACUCCUACGGGAGGCAGCAGUGGGGAAUAUUGGACAAUGGGCGCAAGCCUGAUCCAGCCAUACCGCGUGGGUGAAGAAGGCCUUCGGGUUGUAAAGCCGUUUUGUUGGGAAAGAAAAGCAGCAGGUUAAUACCCCGCUGUUCUGACGGUACCCAAAGAAUAAGCACCGGCUAACUUCGUG
rnacentral:rRNA from 1 species